ensembl:lncRNA
GGAAUGGGGACACAGUGGGGAUGGGGAUGCAAUGGGGCAGAGAUGGGGUCACAGUGGGGAUGGGGACACAGUGGGGACAGGGGUGGGAAUGGGGAUGGGGUCACAAUGGGGUUUGAGACACAAUGGGAAUGGGAUUGUGGAUGGGGACACAAUGGGGGUGGAGUCAGAAUGGGGAUGGGGUCACAAUGGGGUUUGAGACACAAUGGGAAUGGGAUUGUGGAUGGGGACACAAUGGGGAUGGGGUCACAGUGGGGACACAGUGGGGAUGGGGAUGCAAUGGGGCAGAGAUGGGGUCACAGUGGGGAUGGGGACACAGUGGGGACAGGGGUGGGAAUGGGGAUGGGGUCACAAUGGGGUUUGAGACACAAUGGGAAUGGGAUUAGGGAUGGGGACACAAUGGGGGUGGGGACACAAUGGGGAUGGGGUCACAAUGGGGUUUGAGACACAAUGGGAAUGAGAUUGUGGAUGGGGACACAAUGGGGAUGGGGUCACAAUGGGGACAGAGGUGGGGAUACAACGGGGGUGGGGACACAGUACGGAUGGGGUCACAGUGGGGAUGGGGACACAGUGGGGACAGGGGUGGGAAUGGGGAUGGGGUCACAAUGGGGUUUGAGACACAAUGGGAAUGGGAUUAGGGAUGGGGACACAAUGGGGGUGGGGACACAAUGGGGACAGAGGUGGGGAUCCAACGGGGGUGGGGACACAGUACAGAUGGGGUCACAGUGGGGAUGGGGACACAGUGGGGACAGGGGUGGGAAUGGGGAUGGGGUCACAAUGGGGUUUGAGACACAAUGGGAAUGGGAUUAGGGAUGGGGACACAAUGGGGGUGGGGACACAAUGGGGACAGAGGUGGGGAUCCAAUGGGGGUGGUGACACGGUACGGAUGGGGUCACAGUGGGGAUGGGGUCACAGUGGGGACACAAUGGGGAUGGGAUUGUGGAUGGAGACACAAUGGGGGUGGGGACACAGUGGAGAUGGGGUCACAAUGGGGAUGGGAGCACAGUGAAGAUGAGUAUGGGGACACAGUGGGGACAGGAAUGGGGACACAGUGGUGAUAGGGAUGGGGACACAGUGGGGAUGGGGACACAGUGGAGAUGGGAGAUGUAUGGGGCUGCCCCCCCUCCUUGCAUUCUUCUCUCUUCACCUUAUUUCCCCCCUCCUCCCCCCCCAGCUCUCCUCCUUGCUUUCACUUUCCUUUUCCUGCUUGGACAACCAACCACGCACUGCCUUCCCCUCACCCCACACGGUAUCAUCCUGCUGACAAACACACGGAAGGACAAACACACAGAAGGACUUCUCUGGGGCGGUGUCGGGCAGAGUUUAUUUCCUGCACUGCCACUCUCUCUGCAGAUCCCGUUGCAGGAGCUGCUGGGAUGGCCUUUCGGAGCGUGGAGAUCCAACUGACCAACAGCACGAGGGAUGUGACCCUGAGCUCCCCCAGGGCCUACUGCUUCAGUGGCUACAACUCCGUGCCCCCCAGCCCCAUCAUCCCACCGGGAGCCACGGAAUGCUGCACCUUCAACAACUCCCCACACCGUUUCCGGGGCAGCGUGGGUGUCCUGGUGUACGAGGCAGAAACCUUCACCCUGGCCAUCCUCUUCUCCAACCCUUACAACUACAGCUUUUACUACAUGGAGUUUGCCGUGGAGAUCUCCCCAGAAAAAGCCCACCUUGGCUUGCUGGAGGAUGUCUAUAUGAGGAUGUACAGAGGUUUACCAGCAAAUCCCAGAAACAGUGGCAUGCUCCGGAAUGUCAAGCUCCAUGCAACCCAGGAGACCAUGAUGGUCUCUGCUGGUGGCACAAAGGUCAUGGCCACCAUGUCCAGUGCUGCAAAGUCCGUCAUUAAAGUAGUUGUGGAGAACAAGGAUAGUCCCCCCCCAUAUACAGAGGCAAUACCACACUUUCGCUUUACGCACCAUGAGCCAAGGAAAUUUAGAAAAUUCCAGAAGAAGGAAGGAAUGAAUGGUCCCUUCUUCCAGUAGGUGCUAAGCAGAGCGUGCUGCCCUCAAAAAAAAUGCUGAAGUAGAGCAGCAGUGCACAGAUGUUACUUCUAUUUUGUUUUGUUUUGCUUUCCUUCUUCUCUUUCUGUUCUUCCUUGCGGCUGGAAAAGGCAAUGGCAGCUGAGCCAGCAAAUCAUGACAAUAAAAAAGCAUUGCAGAUAACAAUAACAGAAAAGCGUUGUGGUGUCCUGGGGCAGCGGUGUGGAUGGGGGUGGUGGGUCUGAGCUUUGCUGGGUUUUGUGGGGAGGAACGGUGCAAGGUAGCUCUGAAAUGCCAAUCCAAGCCUGUGUCAUAACAGCAGCUCAGGACCAUGGCCAAGGAGGAAAUCUCCAAAGGGCUGAAUGGCAAUGGUUUCACCAUUGGGUCCCAUCUGCUAGUUUGGAUUCACUCAGGUGAGUCACUGCCUUUGGUGGGCAGUGUGGGAAGACCUGGAUGGGAAGACCCAUCGGAUUUACACUCCUUAACAGUUGGGUGAUGUUGGCAAAGGGACCUGGUGCUACUUUGGGCAACAAAGAUAUCUUGAUGGCCACCAGGAUGGUUAUCAACCAUACCUCUCUGAGGCUGAG